UGCAGCCCGAAAAAGACAAAAGACAAAAAUAAAUAAAUUAAUUAAUUAAAUAAAUAAGAUACAAAAGUCAUCCUUUGUUACCUGCAGGUGAUUGGUUCCAGGACUGUCCCCCUAACUUCGCUCUCUCACCAUCUAUCCCUUCAACCUUCCCAACCCGAAUCCAGGAUGCUCAUGUCUUUUAUAUUAAAUGGCAUAAUAUAUGCAUAUAAACUUCACACAUCCUCCUGUACACUUUAAAUCAUUUCUAGAUUAAUUACAACACCUAAUACAAAGCAAAUGCUAUGUUUGAUAGUCACCAGUGGGCAAAUUCAUGUUUUACUUUUUGGAACUUUCUGAAACUUUUUUCCCCAAAUAUCUUUGCCACUCUUCCUAGAGAGAGGUGGCGGUUCAUGUCACAUCCCCUGGAAAGCAGGCCCGUUUUAUGCGUAGUUGACAAAGAUCACAAAGUAAGCAAAUGUUGGAGCCCGGAAUCACAUCCAAACCUUCUAAAUUCAGAUCUUGACUUUUUAAUUCCUUGGCUGUGCCAAAGCUGGAUAUCAAUCAAAACACUGUGAUUCCAACUUACUACAUUGCAUCAACCUUACAACAGAUACAGAUGGAUCAAGGAAUCAAAGUUUAGGGACAUUCAGAUUUAAUGGUUUUAUUGUAGAGGUUUAUAUUCCCGGAAAGGUCAUUAUCAUCUGCAUGGGUGACAUUUUACAGUUUUGCAACCUCCUGUGACAUUUCUUUAAUGAAUAAAAGGUGGUAAGUGAUUAGUAUCUAGAGAACAAUAGAACAAUUGAACUAGAAAUGUCAAUCACAGGAAAAGGUCAAUAAUCAAAAUAGUUCAAGAACCUUUUCUGAAUCUGAGGAGAGACAUAUUUUGGAAUUCACACCUAUUUUGCUUACAAAUCAUUACAGCUCAUACGUAUUUGCAUCAGGUAACAUAUUAAAGUGAAUGGCAUCUUAGACAUUUGUUUCUUUUCUUCUCAGUUUAACACAGUACGGUAAAUGACCCAUAAAGAAGAAAAAGAAAUAUUAUUUUUCAAUCAAAAAGUUUAUAAAUAUGCAAACGAUAUUAUGUCUAGCAGAGCAUGUUAAAAAAAAGGAGUUUACAACAUUUUCUUAAUGGAAAUUUUAUGACGCUUUUAGAGGGAGUUUGGUUCCUGAGAAUGAUUAACAUUUUAUUCUAUUAUAUUCUGUAACCAGUGUUUCUGAUGAUUCUCACCACUUCCGUAUUAACAUUAUCCUAAAUGUUAGAAGGUGUUAUGGCAAAGACCAAACCCCAUGGUCUUUAUGAAACUUUAGUGAUUAAACUUGAGGGAUGAUGGAGAUUGUCUUUUUAAUGAUGUCAUAAUAUAUUCUAAUUCUUUGAAGGCUAUAGCUUUAAUUGUGUAUUACUAGGUUUAAUCAUUAUAGCGUGUAUUAAUUAAAAUAGCGGUAACAGAAGAAUUCAUAGUCAACCCAAGAAAGCAUGUUUAGACCCUAAAUAGCUGGUGGGUGGGAAGGGUUCCACUCCACACAGUCACUUGGGGAUCUAGGCUUCUGCCAUCUCUAGGAUCUCAAAGACAUUGGCCACCUUCCUUGCCUUAGGCCAAUGGAUGAGGAAAGGGAUGGUAGGAUGAUUACGUGGGAGGCUAUUAGGGAUUUUGCUUACUUUUUACUAACUAGGGAUAAGUCACAUAUUCCACUUACUGCAAUAGAGCUGGGAAAUGUAGUUUACCUGUGUAUCCAGGAAGAAAAAUAAAUCAUGUAUUGUUGACAUAUAGGGUACAUAUUCAUUGUACAUUUUGAUGAAUCCCUUCAUUGUGAAUAUAGCUUUAAAAAAAAGAGCUAUAUUUUCUUUCUUUUUUUAAAUAGCCAAUUCCUGGGUUAGGGGUCCAGUCGGAGCUGCAGCUGUAGGUCUAAACCACAGCCACAGCCACAUGGGAUCCUUAACCUAUUGAGUGAGGCCAGGAAUUGAACCAGCAUCCUCACUGACACUAUGUUGGUUCCCCUGAGCCACAGUGGGAACUCCAGGAAGUAUAUGUUCUAGCAUCAGUGUCCUGAGUAUGUAGGCAUGUGCCUUGGCUUUGCUAAUUAGACACUUCUGUAUGAGAUUUUGACAUGAGAGCUAUGUCAGGAUAGACAAAUAUGAUGAAACAUGGUGAACAUGCAGCAUGUUUCUCGGGUCAGUGCGGGUGGUGGCCUUUAAGUGUCAUAGCUAGCGUGGGUCCUUUUAUUUGAAGGUUCCUCCUAUCCCAUGGCCCACCCAUCUCAUGGCCCCUCCAGUAAGAUGGCUCCUCCUGUCUCAUGGUCCCACCCAUCUUAUGGCUCCCCCAAUAACAUGGUUUCCCUUCUCCCAUGGCUCUUCUGGGAAGAUAACUCAGCCUAGCCUAUGGUCCCGCCCACAAGAUGGCCCCUCCCAUCUCGAGUCCUGCCCAUCUCCUGGCUUCUCCAAAAAGAUGGCUCCUCCUAAUCCAUGGUUUCUCCCAGAAGAUGGCUUCUCCUGUAACAGGCAGAUCUUGAAAACAAAGCAUAUGUCCAUCAACAGGUAAAUAAACAAUAUGUGGUAGUUCAUAUGAAGGAGUACUACUCAGCAUAAAAACAAUGAGGUAUUUUUAUAUGCUACAACGUUGACAAAUCUCUAAUUGUGCUGAGGAAAGAAACCUGAUGUAGGAAAGCACAUAGAAUUAUAUAAAAUUCUAUAAAGGAGAGCAGUAGUUGUCUGGGGAUAGGGGUUUAAGAGCCAAAUGUUUCUGAGGAAAAGCUACUUUUCUGAUGGUGCCAUGGAACCAAGAUUUAAAAUCAUAGUCUCCUCAAUUCUUUGGAGGCAUUUUGCUGUCUUCAUAGCUAUCCUUAUUCCCACACCCCAAGGCCAUUGAGUGUUGGGUUUUACUCUUUUGUUCUUACUCUUCCAUCCCCUGGCCAACUUUACUGUUGGGCAUUGCAGAUGCAAAGGGAAAGGAAAGAUACAUAAAAUUCUGGGGAAAAGACCUACUAUUUAGGGUCUUGGACUCAAGCCCUCCCUCCUCCCCAUUCAGCUACCUAAUCUGGGUAAGGCAGGCCACCUAAAACCCAUUUUCCUCAUCUGUGAAAACAGAGAGUGAUGAUCAAAUUUAACUCAUAAAGCAGUUUGUGAGGAUCUGAGGGCCAUCAAGGGAGUUUCCACCAGUUGUUUUUAAAAAAAUCAAUUCCCUUUAUAAAUC
rnacentral:lncRNA from 1 species